AUACGGAGGGUGCGAGCGUUAAUCGGAAUUACUGGGCGUAAAGCGCGCGUAGGCGGCUUGGUCAGUCGGAUGUGAAAGCCCCGGGCUUAACCUGGGAAUUGCAUUCGAUACUGCCAGGCUGGAAUGUAGUAGAGGGUAGUGGAAUUCCGGGUGUAGCGGUGAAAUGCGUAGAUAUCCGGAGGAACAUCAGUGGCGAAGGCGACUACCUGGACUAACAUUGACGCUGAGGUGCGAAAGCGUGGGGAGCAAACAGAAUUAGAAACCCCAGUAGUCC
rnacentral:rRNA from 1 species